UAAUAGUGUAUAUUAAAGUUGUUGCAGUUAAAAAGCUCGUAGUUGAAUGUUGGUGUCGAACGAGCGGUCAGCUUCGGCUGUACUGCUCUCUCGACUCCUUCCUUCUGUGGACUACGUCGCACUUUACUGUGUGGCGCUAGGACGCAGAUCGUUUACUGUGAAAAAAUUAGAGUGUUCAAAGCAGGCCGUACGCUUGAAUACAUUAGCAUGGAAUAAUGGAAUAGGACGUCGGGCCUAUUUUGUUGGUUCUAGGACCGUCGUAAUGAUUAAUAGGGACAGUUGGGGCCGUUUAUAUUCCGUAGUCAGAGGUGAAAUUCUUGGAUUUACGGAAGAUAAACUACUGCGAAAGCAUUCGGCAAGGGUGUUUUCGUUAA
rnacentral:rRNA from 1 species